rfam:Brassica napus, WGS project CCCW01000000 data, contig: 41162
GGAAUAUAAGAGACCGUUUUUUAAUUUUUAGCCAAAAAAAACUAAAAAUCGGCUCUUAAAUAAGAUAUUUAAGAGUUAGUUUUUAGUUUUUCUUAAUUAAAAGUUAAGAGAUGGUUUCUUAUAUUCC